rnacentral:sRNA from 1 species
AAAAUGCUGCUCAAUGAUUUUGACUCAGAUUUUAUCAUUUCUGAGAAAAACAUUGAUACAAACAGUUCUAAAGAGAAUCCAUGGAUGUACCUGAUAAGGAACCGUAGUCAACAGAAGUUGGAGUAGCAGCAGAAGUUGCACUUUCAAUUUUCUUUUCCUGAAGCUUAGCAAUUCCUUCAUUCCAACCCAACCUGGGCCUCUUCCUUGUUUCUUCAGUGAUUCUGUCUAAACGAUUCCAUUUAUUAAAUGGCUUCAACUCCAUAGAACAUUCCCUCUCAUGCUUCAUGUUACGAUCAUUAUAAACAUAGUGGUUUUGUUCUAUAUGGUG